GCGAGUCUGGCCGAGUGGUUAAGGCGUUGUGUUUAGGACAAACUGUUUCUCCUUGGAGAGACGAUAAGAAUAUCCAAAACCGCAAUGGGCAUCGCCCGCGUAGGUUCGAUCCCUACGGCUCGCA
rfam:Beauveria bassiana D1-5 contig00520, whole genome shotgun sequence.